rnacentral:rRNA from 1 species
GAUGAACGCUGGCGGCGUGCCUAACACAUGCAAGUCGAGCGAAGCGCUUAAAUUAGAUUUCUUCGGAAUGACGAUUUUUGUGACUGAGCGGCGGACGGGUGAGUAACGCGUGGGUAACCUGCCUCAUACAGGGGGAUAACAGUUAGAAAUGACUGCUAAUACCGCAUAAGACCCCAGCUUCGCAUGAAGCGGUGGUAAAAACUCCGGUGGUAUGAGAUGGACCCGCGUCUGAUUAGCUAGUUGGUAAGGUAACGGCUUACCAAGGCGACGAUCAGUAGCCGACCUGGGAGGGUGGCCGGCCACAUUGGGACUGAGACACGGCCCAGACUCCUACGGGAGGCAGCAGUGGGGAAUAUUGCACAAUGGGGGAAACCCUGAUGCAGCGACGCCGCGUGAAGGAUGAAGUAUUUCGGUAUGUAAACUUCUAUCAGCAGGGAAGAAAGUGACGGUACCUGACUAAGAAGCCCCGGCUAACUACGU